AGCAUAUCAAUAAGCGGAGGAAAAGAAACCAACAGGGAUGCCCUAGUAACGGCGAGUGAAGCGGCAACAGCUCAAAUUUGAAAUCUGGCGCAAGCCCGAGUUGUAAUUUGUAGAGGAUGCUUCUGGGCAGCGGCCGUUCUAAGUUCCUUGGAACAGGACGUCAUAGAGGGUGAGAAUCCCGUAUGUGACCGGCGCGCACCCUCCACGUAGCUCCUUCGACGAGUCGAGUUGUUUGGGAAUGCAGCUCUAAAUGGGAGGUAAAUUUCUUCUAAAGCUAAAUACCGGCCAGAGACCGAUAGCGCACAAGUAGAGUGAUCGAAAGAUGAAAAGCACUUUGGAAAGAGAGUUAAAAAGCACGUGAAAUUGUUGAAAGGGAAGCGCUUGCAACCAGACUUCGCGGCGGUGUUCCGCCGGUCUUUUGACCGGUCUACUCGCCGCCGCGAGGCCAACAUCGUCUGGGGCCGCCGGAUAAGACCGUAGGAAUGUGGCUCCCUCGGGAGUGUUAUAGCCUGCGGUGAUGCGGCGCGUCUCGGGCGAGGUCCGCGCUUCGGCAAGGAUGUUGGCGUAAUGGUUGCCAGCGGCCCGUCUUGAAACACGGACCAAGGAGUCUAACAUCUAUGCGAGUGUUCGGGUGUCAAACCCCUACGCGUAAUGAAAGUGAACGGAGGUGGGAGCUUCGGCGCACCAUCGACCGAUCCUGAUGUCCUCGGAUGGAUUUGAGUAAGAGCAUAGCUGUUGGGACCCGAAAGAUGGUGAACUAUGCCUGAAUAGGGUGAAGCCAGAGGAAACUCUGGUGGAGGCUCGCAGCGGUUUCUGACGUGCAAAUCGAUCGUCAAAUUUGGGUAUAGGGCGAAAGAC
rnacentral:rRNA from 1 species